GACGAACGCUGGCGGCGUGCUUAACACAUGCAAGUCGAGCGGUAAGGCCCUUUCGGGGGUACACGAGCGGCGAACGGGUGAGUAACACGUGGGUGACCUGCCCUUAGCUCUGGGAUAAGCCUGGGAAACUGGGUCUAAUACCGGAUAUGACUCCAUGACGCAUGUUGUGGGGUGGAAAGCCUUGUGCGGCUAGGGAUGGCCCGCGGCCUAUCAGCUUGUUGGUGGGGUGAUGGCCCACCAAGGCGACGACGGUAGCCGGCCUGAGAGGGCGACC
rnacentral:rRNA from 1 species